CUAAACACAAAGAACAGAAAGAAGUAAAAAAAGGAUCAUUUUAAGAGAGUCGACGGUUGGUGGGAGUCGACAAUCAUCCUUUUUUGAAAUGCCUCUGGGAGUGGUCUUGGUGAAUGAGAGAACAGUAAUAAGCUGCUCUCUCUGUAGCUAAGGACGAGUAACGGACGUUACCUGUUAGAGAUAAUCGUAGAUUAUGAAUAAAAGUGGAACCACGCCUCAUAGCGUCUUUUAA
rnacentral:ncRNA from 1 species